GUGUUCUCAGUUGUCUUCAAAAGGAGGACACGAACCAAAACAAAAGAACAGCUGUCCUACUUGGUCUUCCAUGCUACCUUGCAGAAGAUUCCUCUGACAUAAUCAGGAUGUGUGAUGCUCAUGGUGAAACCCUUGACGUGCUAAUGAGCGGGAUGCAAGUUGGACUGUUGAUUGGACACGAAGGCCCUCUGCAUGAUGCAUUUCCAUUGGAUGUUUUCAACGUGGCUCUGGUAGUAGAGGAGAAGAUCAUCCUACAUGACCUCCGAGAUGUGUCCACAGGCUUUGCCAUGUUACUGGGUGCAAUCUACUGCCUAAACCUUGAGUACCCACGUAAUAUGAAGUAUUCUUUUGAGUUCCUGCAGAGGGUUGUCAUGAACAUUAAACCGGACCAAUGUUCAGCCAGAAUCCAUGGACUCAGAAAUAAACUGCUUAGAUAUCGCAUGUAAACAAAGAAAUGCACUCGUCAAGCAACUACUAGGAGGCAGCAGUUAUUUGGGAAGCUUGCCUUGUUCUUUACACUAGCAUACAGGUUUUCAUCGGCUUAGUUUGUUCAGCACAAGUCAGGUAUGCGUGACAAAUGUGUCACUUGUGAAGUUGAAAAAUCUGAAAUUGUUGAAAAAUCUAAAAUAGUUCAAAUGUGCAAAACAUUUUGAGGUAUAAUGAAAACAAACUUGUUUCGAAUUGUGGUUAAAGAA